rfam:Aptenodytes forsteri contig59809, whole genome shotgun sequence.
AUUAUUAUUCUUGUCCUCUUGGCUAAGAUUGUCAUGUCUGUUCUUGUCUGUUUAAUAUCUGAUAGGUCUUUACUGUGAGGACUUGCUAUUAAAUAGCUCUGUGGAGCUGGGCUAUGGCCUGUGCGCUUGCUCUGUCUUCCCUCUGCACCAAAACCCUUCAGUGACCCAUU